CAUGCAGGUGGUUUGUUAAGUCAGAUGUGAAAGCCCGGGGCUCAACCUCGGAAAUUGCAUUUGAAAACUGGCAAACUAGAGUACUGUAGAGGGGGGUAGAAGUUUCAGGUGUAGCGGUGAAAAUGCGUAGAGAUCUGAAGGAAUACCGGUGGCGAAGGCGGCCCCCUGGACAGAUACUGACACUCAGAUGCGAAAGCGUGGGGAGCAAACAGGAUUAGAUACCCUGGUAG
rnacentral:rRNA from 1 species